UGAGCCCAAAGAUUAUAAUCCAAAAGGAGGCCUCAAAUUAAAAGUCAAAGGGAAAGGAGUCCCUCCCUUUUCUCUUCACCAUUUCCCCCAAAAUUAGAUGCCCAAAUCAGAACCUUCCCUCACGUCGCCUUUCCGAUUCACUCCACACCGUCUGCCAAUCUUCGCCGGCGUGCGACUACUAGUGCCAUCUUCCCUUCGCAUACACUCAUCAGCCACCGCCGUUGGAGAACCGCUGUUGUUCGGUUAGUUAAGGUGAGCUGCUGUGACCGAGAGUCCGCGACCACCACGCUGCCUCAAAUGCCGUCUCGGUUUCAGACCAGCAUCGCCGCCGUCUCACCCAAACGCUGCUGCUGUUCGCCGACUGGGUCAGGGACACCACCGCUGUUCCACACCAGAAACUGCCGCCGCUGUUCGUGAACAGCCACCGGUGCUCUUCAACGCCUCUGAACGUGUUCGGGCAGCCACCGCUCAUCACUGAAUCAACCCCGAAAUGCCCCGAAAAUAACCCGGACAACCCCGAACGACCCUGAAAGAUAAGUUCUUUACUUCCAACUUAUGUUCUUUUCGAGUUUCAAUUUAGUUACAGCGGGGUUCAAUUUGUGAUGUUCGAUUAGUUUCGUUCGAUUGUUGGAUUUUGAUUGUUGAUGGAAAUUAUAAGUGGGAGUGAUGUAUGAUAAACAUGAUAUGAAUAACACCGAUCAAAAGGAAAGGGAUGUAUACCUUUGUUGCUAUGAAUUUGAUUGUGAACUUGGUAGAGCCGAAAGGAAUGGCUCCUUAAACUUGGCAGGUUUGAAUCUGUCCACAAUUAUUGCUAAAGUUGAUUUCGAACAGUAGGAUGAAGUCUCCACAUGAAUUGAUGAGAUGGAUUACCUAGUUUGGGAUUGAAAUGAGAACGAGGCAGCUCUUCGAACUCUUGGUUUCUGGAAAUCAAAAACUCUUCUACUCUCCUUCUCUCUCGGCUUUCUCUCUCUCUCACUUUGUUUUUUCUUGGAUUGCAGAUUGUAACCGUGUUUAUGAGGGAGUGAAACUAGGAGAAAUAGUAGAGAUUAAAUCCCAUUUAAUCAGGUAUUUUAAAGGUAACGGCUCAUGGAGUGGAGUAGAAGCUUAAGCAUUACUCUUCAGAAAUCUCACGCUGGAAUGGGAGCAGAUUUAUGUCAAUCUAUAGGAACAACCAUGUAGUAUGGAAGAGGGAAGGAUUGGGCUCAAAAUCUAUCUCCCACAUUUUAUUUAUUUGUUGAAGUUCAUAGGCCCAAAAUGAUUUAUUUUGUUGUAAAUAAAUCAAGCCCAACCUUAUUUAUUUGCCAUAUAACUCUUCUAUUUUCCAUGGCCCAAAGCCAUCGUGAACCAACGUUUGAACUCUAAUUCAUCA